AUUGAACGCUGGCGGCAUGCCUUACACAUGCAAGUCGAACGGCAGCACGGGGCAACCUGGUGGCGAGUGGCAAACGGGUGAGUAAUGCAUCGGAACGUACCUUUCAGUGGGGGAUAACGUAGCGAAAGUUACGCUAAUACCGCAUAUUCUGUGAGCAGGAAAGCAGGGGAUCGCAAGACCUUGCGCUGAUUGAGCGGCCGAUGUCAGAUUAGCUAGUUGGUGAGGUAAAGGCUCACCGAGGCGACGAUCUGUAGCGGGUCUGAGAGGAUGAUCCGCCACACUGGAACUGAGACACGGUCCAGACUCCUACGGGAGGCAGCAGUGGGGAAUUUUGGACAAUGGGGGCAACCCUGAUCCAGCCAUGCCGCGUGAGUGAAGAAGGCCUUCGGGUUGUAAAGCUCUUUCGGCCGGGAAGAAAUCGCACGGGCUAAUACCCUGUGUGGAUGACGGUACCGGAAUAAGAAGCACCGGCUAACUACGUGCCAGCAGCCGCAGUAACAC
rnacentral:rRNA from 1 species